rnacentral:rRNA from 1 species
CACGUAGGCGGACCAUCAAGUUGGGGGUGAAAUCCCGGGGCUCAACCCCGGAACUGCCUUCAAAACUGUUGGUCUGGAGGUCGAGAGAGGUGAGUGGAAUUCCGAGUGUAGAGGUGAAAUUCGUAGAUAUUCGGAGGAACACCAGUGGCGAAGGCGGCUCACUGGCUCGAUACUGACGCUGAGGUGCGAAAGCGUGGGGAGCAAACA